CAGCGUAAACAAUUGCUUUUAAAACUUCAUUAGGUUUUUGUGUGAACAUAAACUUUCGAUUCAUUUGGAUAAACACCAGGGAACACAAUUGCAAGAUCAUGUGGAGAAAGGAAAGAAUAGAAAAGGUACUGAACUCCAGGUCCAAGUCAAUCAUCUUUGCUUCUCUCACAUUGUCAUCGACAUUUACCCCAGCAUUAUCCUCAUCGCUUCAUCACUACUGCCACCCCAACCAAUCUGCCUCCUCUGUAUAAGUAUAACCUUCUUAUUCUAUUUAUCGUUUAUGAACUUUUGCCUCCUAAAACGUACACACUAUGGGUCUUCAAGAGAAAGGGCGAUGCUUAAAUAAUACAAAUAGCAGAAAUCUGGGGGAAGAUGUGGCCCUUAGGAGUUCUGGAGUAACUCAAAAAAUUCAUUGAGUGUCUUGGAGAGACUAAUUGCUCCUUUUGUCUAUAGGUUCUUAAUCAGUGGAGAAGGGAGCCAGCUUGGAACCCAAUAUCAGUUCUGUUGUUGGUUAAGAUGAUUUAGAGAGUGUGACUUGGACCUCUGGCAAAAAUGAAUAUAUGUAUGUAAAGCUAUUGACCUCUCUUAUAAGGGCGCAGCUUGACCCAGUAAGUUUACCCUGGGCAGAAGAGAAAAAUGUAUUUUGUGAGAAUGUUCAUCUGAAAGAGAAUUUUAAAAUAGGCUUUUUUUUCCCCAUUUUCACCACUUAAUCACUCUUCACCAAGAGUAGUGAGCAUAGGAAGAAGGGUGUAAGUCUCCUUUUAAUAUUUUCAGAAGGUAAGAAGAAGUUCCUAUUUCAUGGAUCAGCAAGAAAUCAGAAAAUUCUGGAAACAAAAACAAAUACUGAUCUAACCAGUAGAAACUGGGGAGAUGUUACAACAUUUGUAUGGGAUAGACUCAUAGGAGAGGGGAAAAUGGCACCUGAAACUUAACUCCAGGGCAUACAUUUUUUAAACCAAGAUAUACAGACCGUAAGAAUUCAUUUUCCUUAUUCCUGUACAUCACAACAUUUUCAACCUUCCCAAUUUAAAACAAUAACAAUCUAAGUUUUAUAAUGUAUGGAGAAAGAACUUUAUCAGUAGAAAUAGAAGAGCUGAAUACUACACCUUCAUUAAUUGUUACAGGUUGUCCCCCCCUAUCCUAUCCUUGAAGAAUCUUGGGGUCUUGUCCAAGUCCCCUGCAGACUGUAGGGUUUGGAUUUUAUUACAUUUUAUUUCUGUCUUGAGUGUCUCUCCUGUAUUUAAGACUAAUAGGUACACAUGCUUGGAAUUAUAUGUCUACUAUGAAGCGUGUUAUUGCUCUUGUUUAUUGUUUGUCUCUUCCUACUACAAUGUAAUCUCCAUAAAGAUGAGGAGUUUGAUACUUUUUUCACUGACAAAUCUCCUAUGCUUAACACAUAGCUGAUAUGAAGUGACUGAAUGAAAGUGAAAGAAGAAAAAAUUGUGAAGCAAUGAGAAAGCGUGUGUUGCAUCUUGUGGCCCUGUUUAAUAUAAGAAAAGAGAGGGCUGAUAAUAUGUGUCAAUGCACACAGGGAGUGAGCUGAAAUAUUUGCAGGAUCUUAGCAGAGGUAUGAUUUCAAAUACUCAGUGCUAGAAUGGGGAACCUGUACCACUUCUCUAAUUGCAACAAUGAUGAACUUAACUAUUUAUCCUUUAUUCACAUAAAUCUAAUUUACAUUAAUCAAAUUCACCUUAAUUCAUUUUUACGGGAUCUGAAAAUAUAUAGAAACCAAUUCCAGAACUUCUGCUUCCAACAAUGGUAGAAAACAUGUUUUGGACUAAGAAUAAACAAUAAAGUGGUAUAAAAUAUUUUUUUAAAUUCAUUAAGGGCAACAGAGAGAAUUUCUAUUUCCAGAAAGGAUAUAGUCAGUGUGGCAGGCCAACACUUGGACUAACAACGAGAAAAACCUAGGUAAAUUAUAUAUUUAUAAAGGAAUCAGAGGGUUUUAAAAACAAGAACUAAAUGGAUUAAAAUUCCAGAGAAGUGAGAACUUUCCAGUAAUGACUUGAUGAUGUCCACAAUUUUUUCCUCUUGGCAAAAUUGCCAGGUUGGAGUGCAGGCUAAGGAUGAGGCUGAGUCCAGGCAGAAAGAUGCAGCUGCGGAAAAAAGUUAAACUAACAAAACUUUUAGCAGUUAUAUGGGGCUUUGGUGACUCACUGAAGGUGUGAGAAACCCUAAAUACAUGAUUAAGACAUUAACUGAAUUCUGAGACUGUAUGGAGGCUAAAACAGUAGUCCCCAAACUUCUGAAAUGCAAAGUGAAGUCCCCCACAGUGUCAUGGUGCUAGAGAAUCAACGAACUGCUAUGGAAAAGAGGAGCCCCAAAACAAAAGAAGUAAAAUAUAAAAACAUAAGAGGGAGUAGGGAAUUGACAUUGGUAAUUUACAGGUGGUUUUUUGAUGGGAAUAUUUACAGAUUCUGAGCAAAGCUACAGGCUGUCCCUCAAAGAAAACAACAAAAGAGAUCUCUAUUCUUCACAGAAGACUAUAGAGUGUCCCAAACACAUUGCCAGUCUUCCUUUCAAGCGAGUUGCUGAAUUUUGAAGCUUUAUGGAGCAGGAGGUUAAAGAGCUAAACUGAAAACUUGCUGUUAUCUUUUAGGGCUGGAAGACAGAGAUCCACCAGGCUCUCAAUUGAAAGCCCUGGAGGGCUACACCCUAAGAACAGAAGUGAAUCGGAGGUACACUUAGCAAAACUGAAACCAGCUUCUGAUUCAGAAUAAUCUCUGACUCGAUUGAGGUGAUCAAAGGCUAUUCUACCUGCCCAACAGAAGAAAAAGGGAACACUUUCGGUGGAAGGCAAUAUCAUCUGGACCCUUUAUGGUUUUAUUAUACAUAAUGUCUAACAUUUUUUAAAUUACUAGAUGUGGAAGAUCAAGUUCAUUUGCCCAAUAAUCAAGAGAAAAAAACACACACAAUAGAAACACAAUUAUAGAUGAUCAAGAUAUUGUAAUCAGCAAAUGAGAAUUUACAAAUAAUUUUUAUGAAUAUGUUUAAGAAAAUAA
rnacentral:lncRNA from 10 species